rnacentral:sRNA from 1 species
AUGGCCGGAUAGGAAGAAAAUUUCCUGCACACUGUCACGUCGGGGAAUUUCCUUCGCCAUUCGCUGUAGCUGGCAACAAACGAAGGUCUCAUCCUUGGAGUUUUCCAACUUGGGGAGUACGUUAGUCACGAUUAAGUACAAUUGAGGAGCAAUGGACGAAAGACCGACGACAAACAGAGACAGAGCUAGGACUGAGAGCGGAACUUGCUGGUUUCAUAAACAACAAACCAUACCCAUUUUCAACGUACAUGGUAUUUUGCCUUGUUUGAAGCUGAACAUGAGAACACAACAUAAAUAAAAUAAAGGGUAUAGGAGCUACAAGAUCAAAGGGUGAAAUGGCAUUGUCGACGUAUGGGGAAAGAGGAAAAGCGGAAGGGAGAGAAAACACACUAGCCCUUUUAAAAGAAAAGAAAAAUACAUGGUUGGCUUUCGGAAGUAAGACGUAUCAAAUUCGACCAAAAGAAGAGUAAAAGGUAUACCUGAAAAGAAAAUGGGUGUAAAGCAAGAUAUUGAUAUAAAAAAAGAGUUCCAGGGACCGCAGUUUGAACAAGAGGUUUUGAACGAAUGAAAAGA